UAGCUAGUUGGUGAGGUAAUGGCUCACCAAGGCGACGAUCCGUAACUGGUCUGAGAGGAUGAUCAGUCACACUGGAACUGAGACACGGUCCAGACUCCUACGGGAGGCAGCAGUGGGGAAUAUUGGACAACGUGGGCGAAAGCCUGAUCCAGCCAUGCCGCGUGUGUGAAGAAGGUCUUCGGAUUGUAAAGCACUUUAAGUUAGGGAGGAGGGUUGUAGAUUAAUACUCUGCAAUUUUGACGUUACCGACAGAAUAAGCACCGGCUAACUCUGUGCCAGCGCCGCGGUAAUACAGAGGGUGCAAGCGUUAAUCGGAAUUACUGGGCGUAAAGCGCGCGUAGGUGGUUUGUUAAGUUGGAUGUGAAAUCCCCGGGCUCAACCUGGGAACUGCAUUCAAAACUGACUGACUAGAAGUGUGGUAGAGGGUGGUGGAAUUUCCUGUGUAGCGGUGAAAUGCGUAGAUAUAGGAAGGAACACCAGUGGCGAAGGCACCACCUGGACCAACACUGACACUGAGGUGCGAAAGCGUGGGGAGCAAACAGGAUUAGAUACCCUGGUAGCCACGCCGUAAACGAUGUCAACUAGCCGUUGGGAGCCUUGAGCUCUUAGUGGCGCAGCUAGCAUUAAGUUGACCGCCUGGGGAGUACGGCCGCAAGGUUAAAACUCAAAUGAAUUGACGGGGGCCCGCACAAGCGGUGGAGCA
rnacentral:rRNA from 1 species